AUGCCUCGCUCCCGUCGACGUCGACCCGGAAGCUGUCGCCGGCGGCCGGCCGGCGGUCAGCCUUAACACAGGCCGGGCUGCGGAGCGCGGUCGCCGAGGUUUGCGGCGGCAGCGGGCCGAGGCCAGCGGAGAGGACCUGGAUGAGCCCACUUCAGGUCGGGGCUGAGUGUGGGCGCGCGGUUCCCGGCGGCGUGGGACCCAGUCUCUGCCGGCCGCUGCCCUCUGCGUGUGUAAGUGCCCGUGGGCCCCAGGGCCCUGCACCGCCCGCCCCGAGGCCGCGAAGAGGCCCUCCGCCUGGGGCAGUAUGAAGGCCGCAGAGUUUUCCUCCAGAGCCGCACGUCGGCUGGAAGGGGCGAGUUCGAGGGCUCUGUUAGUGUUAGCAAUGGGGAGACGCGGAGCUGCCGCUGUCGCUUUGCAGUGCCUGUAGGACUUUGAGGGCCCGGAGCCCCGGUUCCCUGAAGAACACCCCGAUCGCCCCAUAUGAGACACAGUUCAUGCCCCCCUCCCUAACUCUGAAGGAAAAUCUUGAGGGCUGUCAUCUGGGGAAGCCACCUUGUCCAAUCAGCCAUGAAGACAGAAACAGUACCGCCGUUCCAGGAGACUGCAGCUGGAUCCAGCUGUCACCUCAGUAACCUGUUGAGUAGCCGGAAGCUGAUGGCUGUGGGGGUCUUGCUCGGCUGGCUCCUGGUCGUACACCUUCUGGUCAAUGUGUGGCUGCUGUGCCUUCUGUCUGCAUCGCUAGUGGUGCUGGGAGGAUGGCUGGGCUCCAGCGUCGCUGGAGCGGCUUCGGGUCGGCUGCAUCUGGAACGCUUCAUCCCAUUGGCCACCUGUCCUCCAUGCCCUGAGGCAGAAAGGCAGCUGGAACAGGAGAUCAACCGCACCAUCCAGAUGAUUAUUCGAGAUUUUGUGUUAUCCUGGUACCGUUCCGUGAGCCAGGAGCCAGCCUUUGAGGAGGAAAUGGAGGCAGCCAUGAAAGGGUUGGUCCAGGAGCUUCGGAGAAGGAUGAGCAUGAUGGACUGUCAUGCUCUUGCCCAGAGUGUUCUGAUUCUCUGCCGUUGUCACCUGCAGAGCUACAUUCAGGCAAAGGAGGCCACUGCAGGGAAGAAUGGUCCAGCUGAGCCUUCUCACCUCUGGGAGGCUUACUGUCGGGCUACUGCCCCACAUCCUGCUGUGCACAGCUCCAGUGCUGAAGUCACCUAUACACGUGGUGUUGUGAAUUUGUUGCUUCAAGGGCUGGUGCCCAAGCCCCACUUGGAGACUCGUACCGGACGCCAUGUAGUGGUCGAGCUAAUCACAUGCAAUGUAAUCUUACCACUGAUCAGCAGGCUGUCAGAUCCUGACUGGAUCCACCUUGUACUCGUGGGUAUCUUUUCCAAGGCCAGAGAUCCAGCACCUUGCCCAGCCAGUGCCCCCGAACAGCCCUCAGUGCCCACAUCUCUGCCACUGAUUGCUGAGGUAGAGCAGCUUCCAGAAGGGAGAACUUCUCCAGUAGCAGCCCCAGUAUUUCUAAGUUACAGUGAGCCAGAGGGUCCUGCAGGCCCCUCCCCAGAGGUUGAAGAAGGCCACGAAGCUGUAGAGGGAGAUUUGGGUGGGAUGUGUGAAGAAAGAAAAGUAGGAAACAACUCAUCUCAUUUCCUACAACCAAAUCUUCGAGGUCCCCUGUUCUUAUGUGAAGACUCAGAGCUGGAGUCUCCGCUGUCUGAACUGGGCAAAGAAACCAUCAUGCUCAUGACUCCAGGCAACUUUCUCUCUGACAGGAUUCAGGAUGCCCUGUGUGCCCUAGAGGGUUCCCAGGCUCUGGAACCCAAAGAUGGUGAGGCAUCUGAAGGAGCAGAGGCUGAGGAGGGUCCAGGGACUGAAACAGAGACAGGCCUGCCGGUCUCCACACUGAAUUCCUACCCAGAGAUCCAGAUCGACACAGCAGACAAGGAGAUAGAACAAGGAGAUGUUACCACCUCUGUUACAGCUUUGCUGGAGGGGCCAGAAAAGACCUGCCCCUCACGGCCCUCAUGCUUAGAGAAGGAUCUCACCCAUGAUAUGAGCUCCCUUGAUCCUACUCUGCCACCAGUUCUGCUUUCCUCCUCUCCACCUGGUCCUCUCAGCUCAACCACCUUCAGCUUUGAGCCCCUAAGCAGUCCAGAUGGCCCAGUUACCAUCCAGAACCUUCGUAUCACUGGCACCAUUACAGCCCGAGAGCACAGUGGCACUGGAUUCCACCCAUACACACUCUAUACUGUGAAGUACGAGACAGCCCUCGAUGGUGAAAACAGCAGCGGCCUGCAGCAGCUGGCCUACCACACCGUGAAUCGUCGCUAUCGAGAGUUCUUGAAUCUGCAGACCCGUCUGGAGGAGAAACCAGAUCUACGAAAGUUCAUCAAAAAUGUGAAGGGUCCUAAAAAGCUCUUUCCAGAUCUUCCAUUUGGAAAUAUGGACAGUGACAGAGUAGAAGCCCGUAAGAGCCUCCUAGAAUCAUUCCUAAAGCAACUCUGUGCCAUUCCGGAGAUCGCUAACAGUGAGGAGGUGCAGGAGUUCCUUGCUCUGAACACAGAUGCUCGCAUUUCCUUUGUCAAGAAACAAUUUAUGGUCUCUAGAAUAGACAAGAUGGUGGUGAGUGCCAUUGUGGACACCUUGAAGACAGCGUUUCCUCGCUCUGAACCCCAGAGCCCCACAGAGGAGCUGAGUGAGGCCGAGACCGAAAGCAAGUCCCAGACAGAAGGCAAGAAGGCUGGCAAGUCCAGGCUGAGGUUCUCAUCCAGUAAAAUUUCUCCAGCACUAAGUGUGACUGAAGCACAAGACAAGAUUCUUUAUUGUCUCCAGGAAGGCAAUGUGGAGUCCGAGACCCUAUCCAUGUCUGGGAUGGAAUCUUUUGUUGAAAAACAGACAAAGUCACUGGAAAUGCAGCCAACAAAAGCCCCAGAAAAAGAUCCUGAACAGCCCCCUAAAGGACAUGUGGACAGUUGCUUGUCAGAUGCAGCUGUGCCAGCCCAAGACCCCAGCAACAGCGAUCCAGGAACAGAGACAGCGUUAGCUGACACAGCCCUAGAUCUACUCCUCUUGCUACUGACAGAACAGUGGAAAUGGCUGUGUACCGAAAACAUGCAGAAGUUUCUUCGUCUUAUCUUUGGGACCCUAGUUCAAAGGUGGCUAGAGGUGCAGGUAGCUAAUUUAACAAGUCCACAGCGCUGGGUGCAGUACCUCAGGCUUCUUCAGGAGUCCAUCUGGCCUGGUGGAGUUUUGCCUAAGUUUCCACGGCCUGUAAGGACCCAGGAGCAGAAACUGGCUGCUGAGAAACAGGCUUUGCAGAGCCUGAUGGGAGUCCUCCCAGAUCUCGUAGUAGAAAUUCUUGGGGUGAACAAAUGCCAGGUGAGCUGGGGUCUAGUCUUGGAGUCACUACAACAACCGCUUAUCAACAGGCAUUUGAUUUACUGUCUUGGGGACAUCAUCCUGGAAUUCUUGGAUCUCAGUGCCUCUGUUGAGAAGUCUGCUGCUACCACCUCUGCCUCAGAUACCCCAGGCAACUCCAAGAGGAUGGGUGUCUCCUCUUAGCUGGUUAUUCACGCAUUCUUCCCAGUUCAGGGAAGUAGAGUUACUCAGCCACCAAAGACCAGUCAGGAAGCCUGUGCCCUCUACAGCUAAGAAGGCCUAAGUUCUCAGUGGCUCACUUCCCUCCCACUUCUCCAUUUGUAGCAGAUGGCAGGGGUAUAUGUGUCCCAGUUGCAUGCACAUUGAUUUCCAUGUUUCUUUUGGAACAUUGGGAUUGUUGCUGGUGAGUAGAUCCUGUUUCCUUUGGGAAAAGAAGCUGUGAGGUAGAGGAAUGAGCCCCUUUUGCUUCUCUUUUUGCCAUCCUCCCUGAGAUUGUUUGCCAGAAUCCUGGCCCUGUGCACACAUGUGCUGAAUCCACCAGCACACAAGCUCUGGAUAGAACAGGAAAAAAACCGUGGCCAGAUUUCCUUGGAGGAGAAAACAACCUUCUGAGCUCUCUGUUCCUAACCGGAAACAAAAAUUCAUUCAGGGCCAUUCUCACAAACCAGACUCCUGGGUCUAAUCUAGUUUCCCAACAGUUCCAGAAGAAGGAGGAGGGAAGAAAAUUUUUCAAGGAACUUCUUGCUCAUGUGUUGCUGUUUCCCAACACAUCAGCCUUAUGGAAGAUGUCAUGAGGCUGCUUCCCUGGGAGGCUACACUUCUCCUUUCCAGAAGACUUCAAAGCUGACUGCCAAAGCUUCUGGUUUAUCCUUGAGAAAGUUUCUGAAAACUGAUGAGAAAAUACUGAGUAAUUAAUGCUGAAAUGGGAAAGAUGAACCCAAGAACAAGUUUUCUGGAUCACAUAGGCUCCUCUGCUGCUUCCUCAGAAACAGAGAAGGUACUUGGUGCUGAAGAAAGAGAAGGAGACAGAGACUGGGAAGGAGAAGGAAGUCGGCAGAAAGAAGAAAGAGGCACAAGAAAGAGAGGAGGGGAGCUAAAAGCAAGAGGUAAGAACAGAUCUCAGUUCUUCAUUUCUGCUUGAGGACUCAUUGAGGCAUUGCAUUGGUUUAGGAGAGCAAAUGAGGUGUGACGUGUUAUAGAAAGUGGAUCUUAAAGCUCUUACUGUAAAUAACCCAUAAUAAGUAAAACUUUUGCUAGGCAAGAAAAAAGGUAUCUAAAGAGAAAAGAGACGUUGACCUACAUAGAACAGACCAUUAUUGUAGAAAUGGGAAGGGCCAAACCAUUCUCAUGCUGAGCAUAAAUUUCCCCCUCUCUAAGGCGAUUGACCAUCUGAGUUUGUUCGGGAACUGUUUUGGUUUUAGCAGUGAAAGUCUUGGAUCCCCAGGAAUUCCCUCAGGCCCAAGCAAACUAGGAUGGUAGGUCACCCCACCCCUGCCUGAAAUGUCCUCCUCCCAUGCCACCCCUCUCACCUCACCUCUUAAUGAAGGUGUCCACAGCUGCGACUUUAAACACAAUCUCCUCCAUAGAGCGUUCCACGAUCCUCAAGCAGAACUGGUUCUUAUCUCUGUGUUCCACGGGGCCUUUUACAUAACUCAACAAUAGCGCUUACUAAUCGUACGCUGUUUCCCACUAAAAUGUCUUUCUCUCUGACACAGUGUAAACUCUUUAAAAGUAAUAAUCUCAUAUUUGAAUCUCUGGUUCAUAUAAUUUUCUGAUUAUAUGAAUGAAUAAACAAAGGAGCAAAGGAAGUUUGAGAAAACUACGCGUAAAUUAUUCACUACUAAAUAUUAAACAUUACUUGAGAUAUUCCCACCAGCACCGAACUACCUGGACAUGAGAGCAAAUUCUGAAGGUCUGGAUCACAGGCAGACAAACAGGAAUGCUUGGAAGGCAGAAGCCUCCCGCACAACAUUUUUCACCUGCUGCUAAUAUGCUACCCAUAGUUUCCACCAUUAAAAAUCUAUUCUUUUGGGUUAAGCCAAAUUUCUCUCUUGCAUAGAACCUGCCCAGACUAUUGUUUAAAAUCUUAUUUUGCUAUUCACCCAGGUGACUGGCUUAGCAUUCAUAGCAAUCACCCCAGCAUUGAGGUCUUGCUCAAAUAGCCUAAGGUACCUGGCAACAUAGAAAUGGCUAUAUUUCUAGAUGAUACAUACCUCAAUUAUAAGGAUUAAAAUGUUCUCUGGGAUAUUCUAUUAAGUGGUUUGGUCCCAAAAGACCCCAAGCAAAGGCUUUGCUAUUAUUUUUUUGCUAACAAUUCGGCUAGGAGGAGGACUGCGUCCCAUCUGCUCAUGAAGACUAAGUUGGUAAGAAUUUGUGCUGUGCUCAUUAGAACCCAGAUUACCUGCAACUGUAUCUACCGUGGGUUCUGGGAGCUAAGUGGCUUCCCUAAGCCUGGACUUAAAGUGUUCUGUGAGAGGUGUGUUUCUUUCUAGAAGUGGGUGGAAGGUGGAGGGGUGGGAACCAUGUUGGGCACAUCUGUGAAGAAAGAAUGUGACAGACCUCUGGAAGUGUUGGCAAUGGAAAGGUGUGGAAAGUGAUAUAGUCUGAGAGGGAACAUUAUGUGAUCAGGGGGAAAGAGGUUUCUUUCUGGGCAAAGGGAGGUAAGACAUAAGAAGUCGGAGCGAAUGGUCUUCAGAAUAAAUAUCCAGAACCUCACUUGAAAACACCAGGAAGAUAUCACGGUGGCCCCGAGCAGAGAGGAGAGGCAACACAAGAUUACAUUUGCAGACUUAGUUAUGAAAUUGUAUAAUUUGAGGCCUAAUUUGUUUUGAAUGUUCCUGCCUUUUCAGCCUCUUUAGUUUAUAAUCUAAAACCAUCUUGUGAAAUAGUUUGAACCUGGAUCUAAGUUGAACAUGAAACACAGCUGAGUGUGAAAGAAAGUAAGUGUGCCACAAAUCUGAAUGAGAAAUAACUUAAGAUCAUUCAAUAAAUCCCUAACUGGAACACUAUGUGAAGGGCGCGGAGCAAACUUUCACACCUCCACUCACCUGCCAGCCUGGGGUACAGAGGGGUCGGGGAGGGUACGGGGCAGAACUCUGCCUGCUGUGGUGAGAACUCGCCACGGGGACUGUGCAGGCCCAGGGCUGGAUCAGGCGGGCAGAUUCCUGCUCAGUGUGUGCCUACAGUCUGUCUGACCUAAAACAGGAGCCACUGGAGACUAUUUUCUCUCAGUUGUAAACCUUACACGUGAUAACUGGCCAAUGACAUGAGGCUGACGGGUAUAAUAUUAGAUUAUAUGUGAUAUUUUACAGUAAACAGAGGGUGAGCUCUGGAGCCAUGCAGACCUGGACUUGAAUCUCAGCUCUGUCCUUCACCCCUCUGUGAUGCAGGGAGUGGAUUCAACCACUGAACCUUAUAGAGCCUCAAUUACCUACAAUUAAAAUGAAGAUGACUAUCACUCUAACAUCAGGCUUGGAUAGGCACAUCAAGGAAUGGCGAGAGUGAGAUGUCCAGUGUAGAACUCAGCUCAUGAUAGGUAUUCACAUUGAUUCCUUUCUCCUUAGGAGAGAGGUGAGAUUCACAAAGACACUGAGGCAUUUACUGAUUUCUACACCCACUCAGGCCACUGUCCUCUCAUCUGGAUGACCUCAAUAUCCUUGUCUGGCCACACGGACUGUGACUGGAAUCAGAGACGAGCCGUUGACUGCUAACUCUCGUCAAUUAGCUACUCAGUGACCAGAGUGCAUGCACUACAUCAUAAAUCUCAUUUCAAAUCUCUGUUUGGAAUCCUUCAAUGACUUCACGUUCCCAGCUCUUUUGUAGGCCUUCAGCAGGCCUUUGGGAGACCUUCCUGGGCUGGCCCCUGCAUCCUGCUCCCGUUCAGGCUCACAGACUUCAAACGCACCCUUCCUGCCCUCCAGCACACUGAGGAGGCACGCACAUCUAUUCCUACAGUUCCGCAACGGGCUCUCCCUUUGCACAAUUUGCCCCUGUGCCUGAACAGCUUCCCCUAUCUCUCUUCCACAUGCCAUUUGUCUAUUUGGAUAGCUGUAAUCCAUCUUUGGGAUUCAGUUUCCAUGUCACUUCCAGUUUUCUCCAGCCAACGGCUAUUUCUCAUUCAGAUUUGUGGCACACUUUCUUUCACACUCAGCUGUUUGCUCUUUGCGGCACUGUGUGCAUGCACCCACCAUAACAAGUAGUGCAUGACUGCUUGGGCUUCUGCAAACUCUACUGUGAGCCUCUGUGAGCAGAGCUUGUGUCUUGUUUACUGCUGUCCUCCCAGCACAGAGAAUAGCAUAGAGGAGAGACCCAAUAAAUACAAUUUGUAAACUUCUAGUUUAAAGUAAUGACGAUAGACUCAAAGAAAAAUUGCAAAAACCUUUCCGAGCUUUCUCUUACAUUCACAUCUUAUAAAACCUUAGUAAAACUAUUAAAACCAGGGAAUUAUCAUUUAUACAAUACUCUUAGCUAAACUACAAACCUUAUUUGAAUUUCACCAAUUUUCCCACCAGUGGCCUUUUUCUUAUCCACAUUGCAUUUAAUCAAUAUGUCUUCUUAAUCUCCUCCAAUCUGUGAGCUAGGUCCUCAGUCUUUCUUGUCUUUAAUGACAUUGAUAUAAUUUUAUUUUAUAGAAUGUUCCACCAUCUGGGUGUGUGUCUGGUGUUUUCUCAAGGUUCGAUGGAGGUUGUGCCUUUUUAGCAAUACGCACAGUGGUGUUAUGUCCUUCUCAGUGCAUGGUAUCCAGAGGCACAUGAUGCCCCUGUGUCUUACGCUGGUCAUUUGCUUGUGGGGAAGGCUGUCAGGUUUCCCCUCUGUAAAGUUAACUGUCUUUCCCUUUGCAAUUAAUAAGCAUCAUGUGAGGAGAUACUUUAAAAUUGAUAAAUAUAUUUUAAUACAUCAAAGGGCAGAAUCUGAAAGAAAGACAAUUAAAAAUAUAAGUAUGAGUUCUGUACCUGCAUUUU